rnacentral:rRNA from 1 species
CAAGUCGAGCGAACAGACGAGGAGCUUGCUCCUCUGACGUUAGCGGCGGACGGGUGAGUAACACGUGGAUAACCUACCUAUAAGACUGGGAUAACUUCGGGAAACCGGAGCUAAUACCGGAUAAUAUAUCGAACCGCAUGGUUCAAUAGUGAAAGACGGUUUUGCUGUCACUUAUAGAUGGAUCCGCGCCGCAUUAGCUAGUUGGUAAGGUAACGGCUUACCAAGGCAACGAUGCGUAGCCGACCUGAGAGGGUGAUCGGCCACACUGGAACUGAGACACGGUCCCGACUCCUACGGGAGGCAGCAGUAGGGAAUCUUCCGCAAUGGGCGAAAGCCUGACGGAGCAACGCCGCGUGAGUGAUGAAGGUCUUCGGAUCGUAAAACUCCGUUAUUAGGGAAGAACAAAUGUGUAAGUAACUAUGCACGUCUUGACGGUACCUAAUCAGAAAGCCACGGCUAACUACGUGCCAGCAGCCGCGGUAAUACGUAGGUGGCAAGCGUUAUCCGGAAUUAUUGGGCGUAAAGCGCGCGUAGGCGGUUUUUUAAGUCUGAUGUGAAAGCCCACGGCUCAACCGUGGAGGGUCAUUGGAAACUGGAAAACUUGAGUGCAGAAGAGGAAAGUGGAAUUCCAUGUGUAGCGGUGAAAUGCGCAGAGAUAUGGAGGAACACCAGUGGCGAAGGCGACUUUCNUGGUCUGUAACUGACGCUGAUGUGCGAAAGCGUGGGGAUCAAACAGGAUU